rnacentral:rRNA from 1 species
AACGUAGGUGGCGAGCGUUAUCCGGAAUUACUGGGCGUAAAGCGUCUGCAGGUGGCAGUUCAAGUCUGCUGUCAAAGACCGGGGCUUAACUUCGGAAAGGCAGUGGAAACUGAACAGCUAGAGUAUGGUAGGGGCAGAGGGAAUUCCUGGUGUAGCGGUGAAAUGCGUAGAGAUCAGGAAGAACAUCGGUGGCGAAGGCGCUCUGCUGGACCAUAACUGACACUCAGGGACGAAAGCUAGGGGAGCGAAUGGG